UACGUAGGGGGCAAGCGUUGUCCGGAAUCAUUGGGCGUAAAGAGUGUGUAGGCGGUGCUCUAAGUCUGUCGUGAAAUCUCCCGGCUUAACUGGGAGGGUGCGGCGGAAACUGGUGUGCUCGAGGGUGGGAGAGGUAAGCGGAAUUCCUGGUGUAGCGGUGAAAUGCGUAGAUAUCAGGAGGAACACCUGCGGUGUAGACAGCUUACUGGACCACUUCUGACGCUGAGACACGAAAGCGUGGGUAGCAAACAGG
rnacentral:rRNA from 1 species